rnacentral:rRNA from 1 species
CAGCAGCCGCGGUAAUACGUAGGGGGCAAGCGUUGUCCGGAUUCAUUGGGCGUAAAGAGCUCGUAGGCGGCUCAACAAGUCGGUCGUGAAAGCCCGGGGCUCAACCCCGGGACGCCGAUCGAAACUGUUGUGGCUAGGGUUCGUAGAGGAGAGUGGAAUUCCCGGUGUAGCGGUGAAAUGCGCAGAUAUCGGGAGGAACACCAAUAGCGAAGGCAGCUCUCUGGGCCGAUACCGACGCUGAGGAGCGAAAGCUAGGGGAGCAAACAGGAUUAGAUACCCUGGUAGUCCUAGCCGUAAACGUUGGGCACUAGGUGUGCGGACUCAUUGGACGUCUGCGCGCGUAGCUAACGCAUUAAGUGCCCCGCCUGGGGAGUACCGUCGCAAGGCUAAAACUCAAAGGAAUUGACGGGGGCCCGCACAAGCGGCGGAGCAUGCGGCUUAAUUCGAUGCAACUCGAAGAACCUUACCUAGGCUUGACAUCACGGGAAAAGCUGUGGAACACCAGUGUGCGUAAGCGGUCCGUGACAGGUGGUGCAUGGCCGUCGUCAGCUCGUGUCGUGAGAUGUUGGGUUAAGUCCCGCAACGAGCGCAACCCUUAUCUUAUGUUGCCAGCGGGUUAUGCCGGGGACUCAUGGGAGACUGCCGGGGACAACUCGGAGGAAGGCGGGGACGACGUCAGGUCAUCAUGCCCCUUACGCCUAGGGCUGCACGCAUGCUACAAUGGCAGGUACAAAGGGCUGCGAUCCCGCGAGGGUGAGCCAAUCCCAGAAAGCCUGUCUCAGUUCGGAUUGGAGUCUGCAACUCGACUCCAUGAAGCCGGAGUCGCUAGUAAUCGUGGAUCAGCAAUGCCACGGUGAAUACGUUCUCGGGCCUUGUACACACCGCCCGUCACAUCACGGAAGUCGGCAACACCCGAAGUCAGUGGCCUAACCCUAUGGGAGGGAGCUGCCGAAGGUGGGGUCGGCGACUGGGAUGAAGUCGUAACAAGGUAACCGUA